rnacentral:rRNA from 1 species
CCUAAAAUUAAGCCUAACCCACCCUUAUGAAAACCACUUCCAACUAAACAACAAUAAAACAUUUUAUCAGUUUAGUAAAGGCGAUUAAAAAACUUUCUAGCGCUUUACUUCUAGUACCGCAAGGGAAAAAUGAAAUAGUUUUGAAACAGCCAUUAAGCAACCUAUAGCAGAGACUACUCCUCGUACCUUUUGCAUCAUGGUUUAGCUAGUCUUUUCAAGCAAAGCGAAACAUCAGUUUGACCCCCCGAAACUAAGCGAGCUACUUCAAAACAGCCCAAUGGAGCCAACCCGUCUCUGUCGCAAAAGAGUGGGACGAUUUUUAAGUAGAGGUGAAAAGCCUACCGAGCUUAGAGAUAGCUGGUUAUUCAAGAAAAGAAUUUUAGUUCUACCUUAAGUCUCUGUAUUAACCACAGAAGUCACUUAGACUUAAGAGCUAUUCAAAUGAGGCACAGCUUAUUUGAAAAAGGAUACAACCUAUAAAAAAGGGUAAACCCCCCCCCCCUCCCAAACCCAAGUGGGCCUAAAAGCAGCCCACCUUUAAGAAAGCGGUUAAAGCUCCUUUUUCCAAGAAAUCUAAUACCCAAAUACACCUUCAACCCUUUAUCCCUACUGAAUGAUUCUAUACUCACUAUAGAAGCCCCAAUGCUAAAACUAGUAACAAGAAAUUGACCUUCUCCUAAAUACAAGCAUAAACCAAAAUGGACAAACCGUUGGUUAUUAACGUCAAUUAAAUCAAUAUAGUAACUAUACCAAGAAAACACUAUUAUUAGUUAUUACGUUAACCUUACACAAGUGUAUUUCCGGAAAGAUUUAAAGAAGGGGAAGGAACUCGGCAAAUAAUAACCUCGCCUGUUUACCAAAAACAUCGCCUCUUGAUAGAAUAUAAGAGGUCCAGCCUGCCCAGUGAAAUAAUUAAACGGCCGCGGUACCCUGACCGUGCAAAGGUAGCAUAAUCACUUGUUCUCUAAAUAGGGACUCGUAUCAACGCCAUCACGAGGGUUAUACUGUCUCCCCCCUCUAAUCAGUGAAACUGACCUCCCCGUGAAGAGGCGGGGAUAUUUAUACAAGACGAGAAGACCCCAUGGAGCUUUAAACCCAAUAACAACCUUCACCAAAGUAUCUUAAAAAUGAAGAGGCACUGUUUAUUGGUUUUAGGUUGGGGUGACCACGGAGAAAAACUAAACCUCCAUGACGAAUGGACCUUAAGCCUAAUCUAAGAACCACUACUCCAAGAAUCAUUAAUUUGACAUAAUUUGAUCCGGCAACCGAUCAACGAACCAAGUUACCCUGGGGAUAACAGCGCAAUCCAUUUCAAGAGCCCCUAUCGACAAAUGGGUUUACGACCUCGAUGUUGGAUCAGGGUAUCCCAGUGGUGCAGCCGCUACUAAAGGUUUGUUUGUUCAACAAUUAAAAC